rnacentral:rRNA from 1 species
AGUGAACGCUGGCGGUAGGCCUAACACAUGCAAGUCGAACGGCAGCACAGGAGAGCUUGCUCUCUGGGUGGCGAGUGGCGGACGGGUGAGGAAUACAUCGGAAUCUACUUUUUCGUGGGGGAUAACGUAGGGAAACUUACGCUAAUACCGCAUACGACCUACGGGUGAAAGCAGGGGACCUUCGGGCCUUGCGCGAUUGAAUGAGCCGAUGUCGGAUUAGCUAGUUGGCGGGGUAAAGGCCCACCAAGGCGACGAUCCGUAGCUGGUCUGGGAGGAUGAUCAGCCACACUGGAACUGAGACACGGUCCAGACUCCUACGGGAGGCAGGAGUGGGGAAUAUUGGACAAUGGGCGCAAGCCUGAUCCAGCCAUACCGCGUGGGUGAAGAAGGCCUUCGGAUUGUAAAGCCCUUUUGUUGGGAAAGAAAUCCAGCUGGCUAAUACCCGGUUGGGAUGACGGUACCCAAAGAAUAAGCACCGGCUAACUUCGUGCCAGCCGCCGCGGUAA